CCUACGGGUGGCAGCAGUGGGGAAUAUUGGGCAAUGGGCGCAAGCCUGAACCAGCAACGCCGCGUGAAGGAAGAAGGCUCUCGGGUUGUAAACUUCUUUUAUCAGGGACGAAGCAAGUGACGGUACCUUAUGAAUAAGCCACGGCUAACUACGUGCCAGCAGCCGCGGUAAUACGUAGGUGGCAAGCGUUAUCCGGAUUUACUGGGUGUAAAGGGCGUGUAGGCGGGAAAGCAAGUCAGAUGUGAAAAACAUGGGCUCAACCUGUGGCCUGCAUUUGAAACUGUUUUUCUUGAGUACUGGAGAGGCAGACGGAAUGCCUAGUGUAGCGGUGAAAUGCGUAGAUAUUAGGAGGAACACCAGUGGCGAAGGCGGUCUGCUGGACAGCAACUGACGCUGAGGCGCGAAAGCGUGGGGAGCAAACAGGAUUAGAUACCCGGGUAGUC
rnacentral:rRNA from 1 species